CAGCCGUAAACUAUGCGCGUUAGGUGUACUGGUGACCACGAGUCACCGGGUGCCGAAGGGAAACCGUGAAACGUGCCGCCUGGGAAGUACGGUCGCAAGGCUGAAACUUAAAGGAGUUGGCGGGGGAGCACCACAACGGGUGGAGCCUGCGGUUUAAUUGGACUCAACGCCGGAAAUCUCACCGGAUAGGACAGACAUAUGAUAGUCGGGCUGAAGACUCUACUUGAUGAUCUGAGAGGUGGUGCAUGGCGUCAGUGACU
rnacentral:rRNA from 1 species